AACGAACGCUGGCGGCAUGCCUAACACAUGCAAGUCGAACGAGACCUUCGGGUCUAGUGGCGCACGGGUGCGUAACGCGUGGGAACCUGCCCUUAGGUUCGGAAUAACUCCCCGAAAGGGGUGCUAAUACCGGAUAAUGUCUUCGGACCAAAGCUUUAUCGCCUUUGGAUGGGCCCGCGUUGGAUUAGCUAGUUGGUAGGGUAAAAGCCUACCAAGGCGACGAUCCAUAGCUGGUCUGAGAGGAUGAUCAGCCACACUGGGACUGAGACACGGCCCAGACUCCUACGGGAGGCAGCAGUGGGGAAUAUUGGACAAUGGGCGAAAGCCUGAUCCAGCAAUGCCGCGUGAGUGAUGAAGGCCUUAGGGUUGUAAAGCUCUUUUACCCGGGAUGAUAAUGACAGUACCGGGAGAAUAAGCGCCGGCUAACUCCGUG
rnacentral:rRNA from 1 species